UACGUAGGUGACAAGCGUUGUCCGGAUUUACUGGGCGUAAAGAGCGCGCAGGCGGUCGAUCAAGUCGAGUGUGAAAGCCCCCGGCUCAACUGGGAGGGUCAUUCGAUACUGAUCGACUCGAAGGCAGGAGAGGGUAGUGGAAUUCCCGGUGUAGUGGUGAAAUGCGUAGAUAUCGGGAGGAACACCAGUGGCGAAGGCGACUACCUGGCCUGUUCUUGACGCUGAGGCGCGAAAGCUAGGGGAGCAACGGGAUUAAGAAACCC
rnacentral:rRNA from 1 species